rnacentral:misc_RNA from 1 species
AGUUCGAUUCUGGCUCAGAUUGAACGCUGGCGGGAUGCUUUACACAUGCAAGUCGAACGGCAGCACGGACUUCGGUCUGGUGGCGAGUAGCGAACAGGUGAGUAAUAUCGGAACGUGCCUAGUAGCGGGGGAUAACUACGCGAAAGCGAUAACUAAUACCACAUACGCCCUUCGGGGAAAGCGGGGGACCUUCGGGCCUCGCACUAUUAGAGCAGCCGAUAUCGGAUUAGCUAGUUGGUGAA